rfam:Rhizobium mesoamericanum STM3625 genomic scaffold, ANZ_1637
UGUCAAGAGUUGGCACCAAUCUGGUGAGGGGAUUUCUUUUGCCUUCAAAAGGUGAAGGUGAUG